rnacentral:lncRNA from 1 species
AUGGCAAAGCUAGAAUAAAAACAGAAAAAUGGCGACGGUCACGUUGUGGCGAGCCUUGCUGCGUCAUUAGAUAAUCCUCAUGCAAAUAGCGGGAUGAACAAAGAAAGGGGGGCUCGGGACCCCCGAGGGCGCAGGUGGAGCCGGGAUGUUGUUUACAUGACGGAUCCGGCGGGAGGAGUCUGCGAGGAGGAGGCGGAGAGAGGAAGAGCGGAGUCCCCGCGGCGGCGGUAGCGGGCCGGGGUGCGGGUGAGCGCCGCGCGAUCCCCGAAGCCAGGACACGGGAGCCUAGGGUAGGCAGGCGGGGGCGAGGGCUGCGGGAAGGCUGUCAC